rnacentral:rRNA from 1 species
GGUCUGGGGAUGGGGGUUUUCCCGCGAGGGAUACACUUUCAUUGCUGGACCUUUCCUUCUGGGGAACUAUGCGUGCUCUUUACUGUAGUGCGUUAGGGAUCCAGAACUGUUACUUUGAAAAAAUUAGAGUGUUUAAAACAGGCAUUUUUGCUUGAAUACAUUAGCAUGGAAUAACGGAAUAGGACUUUUUGUCUCUAUUUUGUUGGUUUUUAGGGACAAGGUA